GAAACCUAAACCCCUUCCCGUGAACCGUUUUGUUUUGCUUUCGAGUGCUUUGUUGUGCUCGAUGUUUGGGCUUCGCUGCUGGCGCUUGAUUGUGCUGGCGGCUCGAGGCCAUCAAGCGGUUUUGAGUGUGUGUUCGCAUACAAUUAAAACGUCCAAACCUUUUAAACCCAUUUGAUUGAACUGAGUAUACUGUGGGGACGAAAGUCCUCGCUUUGAAACUAGAUAACAACUUUCAGCAGGGAGUCUAGGCUCGCACAUCGAUGAAGAACGCUGCGAACUGCGAUACGUAAUGCGAAUUAGGAUUCAGGAGUCAUCGAACUUUUGAACGCAUAUUGCACUUUCGGGUUACGCCUGGAAUAUGUCUGUAUCAGUGUCCGUACACUAAACUUGCGUCUCUUCCGUCGUGUAGUCGUCGGUUGUUUGAUUGCAGAUGUGAGGUUGUCUCGCGAUCCGUUGCUUGUCGACAGGGUUGCGAGUCCCUUAAAGUCGGACGCGUGUUUUUCCGUUUUGUGCUUGAUGGGGUGCGGCUGCGGCCGUGUCUUGGCGGGUCCGGUGACCUUUGGCGAUGGCAUGAGAGUGGAUUGCUCGAUUUGCGGUAUGAGGCUUCGGCUUUGACAAUGCAGCUUAUUGUGUAUGUUCGCUUGGCUGUUGCUGUAUGGGUAGCUGGAUGGUCGGUGGGUGCGUUGUUGCGUGUCGUUUUCAUUGAGUGCGUUUCGG
rnacentral:rRNA from 1 species